rnacentral:misc_RNA from 1 species
UUUCCGUAGGUGAACCUGCGGAAGGAUCAUUACCGAGUGAGGGCCCUCUGGGUCCAACCUCCCACCCGUGUUUAUCGUACCUUGUUGCUUCGGCGGGCCCGCCUCACGGCCGCCGGGGGGCACCCGCCCCCGGGCCCGCGCCCGCCGAAGACACCAUUGAACGCUGUCUGAAGAUUGCAGUCUGAGCAUCUUAGCUAAAUCAAUUAAAACUUUCAACAACGGAUCUCUUGGUUCCG